UGACAGCUGCCUCUUGCACAGCCGCAGCAAAGUCCGUGGGUUCGGAAACCUGUGCCCCGGCUGUCCGCGCGUCCCCGUCCCCCGUGGCCCCGACCCCGGCCAUGAAGCGUAUCUUCUCCUGCUCCAGCUCACAGGUGGCGGUGGAGAGAUGGAACCGUCGUGACCAGAAGCUGCUGGAGGCAGUGCAGCGGGGGGAUGUGGGGCGCGUGGCUGCCCUGGCCUCCAGGAAGUCAGCCCGCCCCACCAAGCUGGACUCCAACGGCCAGUCCCCGUUUCAUCUGGCAGCCUCCAAAGGCCUGACAGAGUGUCUGACUAUACUGCUCGCAAACGGGGCUGACGUCAACAGCAAGAAUGAGGAUGGAAGCACUGCCCUGCACUUGGCCACCAUCUCCUGCCAGCCACAGUGUGUCAAGGUCCUGCUUCAGCAUGGUGCUAAUGAAGACGCUGUGGACGCAGAAAACCGUAGUCCAUUGCACUGGGCAGCCUCCUCUGGCUGUGCCUCAAGUGUGCUCCUGCUGUGUGACCACGAAGCCUUCCUGGACGUGUUGGAUAACGAUGGACGUACACCCCUGAUGAUCGCGUCGCUGGGUGGGCACACCGCUAUCUGCUCACAGCUGCUGCAGAGAGGAGCCCGAGUUAACGUUACAGACAAGGAUGACAAAUCGGCUUUGAUCCUGGCCUGUGAGAAAGGCAGUGCCGAGGUGGCCGAACUGCUGCUGAGCCACGGAGCAGACGCGGGGGCUGUGGACAGCACGGGGCAUGACGCUUUGCACUAUGCUCUGCGCGCACAAGACAAGUCACUGCAGAGGCUGCUGCAGCAGGCCCUGAACCGGCGGCGGGGCGGUCAGGGGCUAGUCCAGCACCCAGAUCUUGCAUCCCAGGCCUCUCCAUCGGAGCCCCAGGCAGGCUCUUCACCUAAGACCCCAUGGAGAGCAGAGCCUGAGGAGGAGCAAGAGGAAGAGGAGGAUGAAGACCCGUGCUCGGAGGAGUGGAGGUGGAAGUUUGAAGAGGAGCACAGGAAAGUUUCUCAGUUGGAGCAGGAGCUGGUACAAAAGACAGAAGAGUGGAAGGCUCAAGCUGCAGCCUACCUGGACCUUGAGACCCAGAUUCAAGAGCAGGCGCGGGAGCUAGGGCUCCUCCUGUCCCGGGAACCCAGAGCUUCAGGAGGGCAAGGCUCUAGGCUCCGGCCUGGAGGGGAUGGCAUGGGGCAGGGUCGUCCUCUGGACCUGCUGGCUGAGCGUAUACAAGAGCUAAAGAAGCAACGUCAGGCAGCAGGCACAGUAAAUUCAGUAUUAGCUCCCAAGAAGGCUGAGGACUCAGCCCCAGGAGAGAUCCAGUGUGCAGUCCAUGGAAGGUCCCAGCCAGAAGAACAGGAGCUACCCCAGAGCCCAGGGUCUGAGACCAUCAGGAAAGCCACAAGACAGCAAUUGACUAAAGAUGGCGGACAGACCCUUGGCCCUGAUCAUGCCGACCAGAUGCCUGCUGGCCAGAAGGAGAGGCCCCGGGUUCCAGGAGUUGAACCAGGAGGCACAGUGGCUGAACCAGCGGGCCCAGCAGCCAUGACCCAGCUUGUGCUCCAGCUAAGGGAGGAGCUUGCUGCGGUGUGGCGAGAAAAGGAUGCUGCCCGGGCGGCUUUAUCAAGACCAGUCAUGGAGGGAGCCCUGGGGACUCCCCGUGCUGAGGCCGCGGCAGCUGCCUGGGAGAAGAUGGAGGCCCGACUGGAGCGAGUGCUGGCGAGACUGGACCGGGCAAAGGCAGGACUGCAGGUGAAGCCUGAGGUUCCUGCCCAGGAGUCCAGAGAGCGAGCACCAAAGGCAGCCCCAGGGAGCAUCAAAGAGGAUGAAGAGAAGGAGAAAAGCGUUCCUGGGGCUCGGGGAGAUUCUCUGGGGGCCCCUGGAGGGGAACAGGCCCUAGGAGGCCUGGCAAAGGGACAGCUGGAGAAGGAGGUGUCAGCGCUGAGACUGAGCAACAGUCACUUACUGGAGGAGUUAGGCGAGUUGGGGCGGGAGCGGCAGAGGUUGCAGAGGGAGCUGCAGUCCCUGAGCCAGCGGCUGCAGCGGGAGUUUGUGCCCAGGCCAGAGGCGCAGGUCCAGCUGCAGCAGUUGCAGCAGAGUGUGGGGCUGCUGACAGAUGAGCUGGCCGUGGAGAAGGAGGCCACAGAGGAGCUGCGGAGGCGCCUGGCCUCCCAGAGCAGCAGCCUCCGAGGGCUGUGGGACUGCCUGCCCGCCGACCUCGCGGGCAAGAGGAGCGCAGCGCGGAGCGAAGUCGCGGAGCCCCCGGAGGAGCUGCGGGCCUGCAUCAGCACCCUGGCGGACCGGCACCGGGAGGCCCAGCACGUGCUGGCUCAGCUGCGAGAGGAAAACCGGCAGCUGCGGGGCUCCCUGUCCCCGGGUGGGGAGCCAGGCACGUCCUUCAAGGUCCCAGCAUCCCCGCAAGUGGCGGCGCUGGAGCAAGACCUGGGGAAGCUGGAGGCAGAGCUGCGGGCGGUUCAGGCCACGAUGAGCGGGAAGAGCCAGGAGAUCGCGAAGCUCAAGCAGCUGCUCUACCAAGCCACGGAGGAGGUGGCGGAGCUGCGGGCCCGGGAGGCGGCCAGCCUGCGGCAGCACGAGAAGACGCGGGGCUCGCUGGUGGCCCAGGCCCAGGCUUGGGGCCGGGAGCUCAAGGCGCUGCUGGAGAAGUACAACGCGGCCUGCCGGGAGCUGGCUCGGCUGCGGGAGGCGGUGGCCGAGGAGCGGCGCCGCGGCGGGGACCUGGCAGCUCGGGCCGCGGAGCACGAGCGCCAGGCCAGCGAGAUGCGGGGGCGCUCCGAGCAGUUUCAGAAAACGGCGGAGCUGCUGAAGGAGAAGAUGGAGCGUCUCGUUGGGGCUUGCCGGGACAAGGAGGCCAAGAUCAAGGAGUUGUUGAAGAAGCUGGAGCAGCUUUCGGAAGAGGUUCUAGCAGUUCGGGGAGAAAAUGCUCGCCUUGCCCUGCAGCUGCAGGAUUCCCAGAAGAACCAUGAAGAGAUCAUCUCCACCUACAGGAAUCACCUACUGAAUGCUGCUCAGGGCUGCAUGGAACAGGACGUGUACAGUAUCCUGCUGCGAAUCCUUAGCAUGCAAGAGGAGUGAGGCGGCCUCACCGGGAGCCCUCAGGGAUACAAGAGCCUCUGUUGGAAUAAGAGCCCCCGGUUGACAGACGCUCCCUCAGGCUGUGGUGGGGGGUGUUGGCCACUGGAGAAUGGUAAGGGCAGGGCUUCACCUGACAUUACGAACCUCAGACCUGAGAGCGUGGACCUUGGAAUCAGCAUGGAUGAGACCAGAGGAGGUGACGAGAGGGAUGAAAAGUCUGAUUCCUGGGUAGAGGAUGAAGGGACACCCAAGUGCCAUUUUUGCCUGUGAUUCCAUUCUCAGACUGAAAAAUAAAUGGAUCUCU